GAAAAAAAUCCACAAUGAGACUCCCACCCACUACAAUCUUACCAAAAUAGCUAAAAUUAAAAGGACUGAUAAUACCAAGUAUUUGUAAGGAUAAGAAGAAAUUAGAAGUAUCAUACAUUUUUAGUGAGAGUAUAAAUUGGUACAACACUUUGGAAAACUGCUUCAUGGUAUCUACUAAAUAGCUAAAUCCUAAGACCUAGCAAUUCCACUCCUGGCCAACCUAAAUGAGUGCACACAUCCAUCAAAAAGCAUGUACAAGGACGUUCAUAGCAGCUUUAUUCAUAAUAGCCUGAAAUUGAAAACAACCCAAAAGUCCAUCACUAGUAGGAUGAAUAAAUUGUGACAUAUUCAUAUGAUGGAAUAGUACAUAACAAUACUGCCCAAACACAGAAGAGUACAUACAACAAGCUUUCACUUACAUUUUGUUAAGAAAUAGGCAAAACUAAUCAGUGGUGAUAGAAGGCAUCAUGAAAGUAGUGGAGGAAUGACUGGGCAGGGCAUGAGAGCCUUCUGGGGUGUACCGGAAUUGUUAUGUAUCUUAAUUUGGGUGGCAGCCACACGGGUACAUACAUAAGUAAAAAUGUAUGCAACUGGAUAGUUAAGAUGUAUCCCAUUUAUGUAUAGUAUACCCCAAUUUUAUUAAAAAAAAAAACAAAACAAAACAAAACCGUAAAAGCAAAGGCAGAAGAAAAGGAAUCUCCUGCUACAAACUAGAGUCCUCUGCUUCAAAUUUGUAACAUACAAUGUCACUUCCCUACAUGAAACCCUCCAGGACUUCCCCUUCCUCUGAGAAUGGUCUGCAAACCUUUCACUUGGCCUGCAUAUCCUGGGCCCUAUCUACCUUGGCAAACUUUUUACUCAUCACCUGUGUUCCACUUCCUCUUGCUAACUGCCCUCCAGCCACCCUGAUAGUUUUCUCAUCUAAUACAUCAGGCUCAUUUUGACCUAGGUACUUGCCACUUGCUCUUCACUCUGCAUGCACUGCUUUUCUCCAGAUCCCCCUAUGAUCACCCCCAACUCAUCAGUCAGACCUCAGCUCAAGUGCCAUCUUCAGAGAGGCCUCUGCUGCCCACCCUAGCUAAAGUAGCAUGCUCAUUUCACUACCAUCUCUCUCUAGCCUAUCACCCCAUCUAUCCUUUUCAAUUUUAUACAUAGUGCUUCUCAUUCUCUAAGAUUAUCUGGCAUGUUUACUUGCUUAUUUUCUGCAUUCUCCUCUAAAAUAUAUGCUUCUCAAGAAAGUGGACAAGGUCUGUCUUGUUCACUACUGUAUCUCCAGUCCCUAGGGUAGAGCCUGUCAUCUAGUAGCCACUCAAUAAAUAUUUGCUUAAUCAUGACUCAAUAAAUGAAUAAAUUACCACCCCCAAAAGUUAAUGGGCAUGGGAAAAUUCAUAAGGAACAUCAUGGCACAGUCAAAAGAGCACUGGAUUAGGAGUCAGAAGACCGAGAUGCUUAGAGUAGAUGAUUAGCUGCUUUAACAUUUUUGAUAUCACCUAUCUAAAUCUAGUUGGGAGAUUGGACAUGUGGACAUGAGGAGAUAAUGAGCAAAUGAUGCAGCAAAAGGCCAAAGGAGAGACCUCAAAAGAU
rnacentral:lncRNA from 10 species